rnacentral:rRNA from 1 species
AUUGAACGCUGGCGGCAGGCCUAACACAUGCAAGUCGAACGAGUGGCGGACGGGUGAGUAAUGUCUGGGAAACUGCCUGAUGGAGGGGGAUAACUACUGGAAACGGUAGCUAAUACCGCAUACCAUCAGAUGUGCCCAGAUGGGAUUAGCCGUUUGGUGGGGUAACGGAUCACCAAGGCGACGAUCCCUAGCUGGUCUGAGAGGAUGACCGUCCACACUGGAACUGGGACACGGUCCAGACUCCUACGAGAGGCAGCAUUGUGGAAUAUUGCACAAUUGGCGCAAGCCUGAUGCAGCCAUGCCGCGUGUAUGAAGAAGGCCUUCGGGUUGUAAAGUACUUUCAGCGGGGAGGCGUUACCCGCAGAAGAAGCACCGGCUAACUCCGUGCCAGCCGCCGCGGUAAAC